rnacentral:tRNA from 1 species
GGAGAGGUGGCCGAGUGGCUGAAGGCGGCGGUUUGCUAAACCGUUAUAGGGGUAACACUCUAUCGGGGGUUCGAAUCCCCCCCUCUCCG